GCUCCCAUGGCGUAGUGGUCACUGCGCUCGCCUUGCACGCGGGAGACCUGGGUUCGAUUCCGGGCGGGGUCA
rnacentral:tRNA from 1 species